AAAUUUUUAAAAUAAUUAUAAUUUUUAUUUAAUAGAGUACAUUUAUAAUUUUAUGAGUGGAUAUAAAUGUGUCCUAAAGCAUGCUCUGCGGUUAGACGAUGAGCUACCCUGGUUCGAGGAGAUUCCAGUGCCGGUGGCGGACGUGGGCGUCGUAAAUUUAUGAGUGAUUUUAAUCACUUUGUCAAAAAAAAAAAAAUAAAUAAAUAAUGUGUCCUAAAGUUUACAGGGUUUUUGUUUAUUUUUCUAGGUAUUUAUUUUAUUUUUUGUUUGUGUUAAUUUUUGAUAUUUUUUUACUCUAUUUUCAUAAAUUUCUAAAAAAUAAUGUACAAUGUAUAUUUUAUAAGUUUCCGUAUAAUUAAAGAUAUUUACAAAAUAUUAGAUUUUUUUGUGAUAUAUUUUAAAAUAUCUUUUUUAAUAUAUGGAAGUAUUAUACGUAGUAGACCAAUUUCUCAUAAUAUAUAUUCUAAUUUUUUGAACAAUGGCUAUGAUUUCGUAUAAAUAUCUCUUUUCCUAAUAAUCCUAUAUAACCUAAUUAAUAUCUCUUUUCGUAUAAAUAACAGUAAUUAACAGUAAUGGCUUGAAAUAACAGUAAUAUUCAAUUCAAUUGUUUAUUUUAUGUGAUUCAAAAUUGCUUAUAUAUAUCUAUAGAUGUUUUGUUUUUAUUUGGGGCAGGCGGAGGUAAUUAAAGCACCCUCAUCUUGUAAAUUUUUGUGACGAAGUUUGAGAAUUUCGUAACCUUUUUCAUCAUUGAUGAGAUGAGAAAAGGGUUACGAAAUUCUCAAACUUGGUGACAAAAAUUGGAGACUUCCCAAAAGGCAAACUCGUACUCAAGCUCAAAGUCAAGUUCGAACACCACAACAACAAGGUACGUACUCUGUAUUUGAUGACAAGGUCAGGCCUGGUUUGAAAGCUCAAUCUUAAAGUUCUCGAUUUGGAUGGCAAACAAGGCCAUCGGGAGUGGCUGGUAAUUAAUAAUAAAACCAUGCACCAAAAUAUUCAAUUCAAUUGUUUAUUUUAUGUGAUUCAAAAUUGCUUAUAUAUAUAGAUAUAUAGAUGUUUUGUUUUUAUUUUCUUGGGCAAUUAAAGCACCCUCAUCUUGUAAACUUGAUCGGUUAUUGUUGCGAAGAUGAACAUAGGCUUAUUGUCUAUGAAUUCAUGCCUCGGGGAAGCUUAGACAACCAUAUUUUCAAAGGUCAUGUGACAGCUAUGAGGGAUGUAUUUAGUUAUGGAGUGGUUCUGCUGUUGGAACUAUUAACAGGUAGGCGAUGCUUGGACAAGAGCCGAAGACUUGAGUAGGGAACAGAACCUUGUUGAUUGGGCUAAGCCUUUUUUAAAAGAUGCCCAUAAAGUGGACCCAAGGCUCGAGGGUCAGUACUCGAUCGAAGGGGCUAGGAAAGCAGCUGCUUUGGCUCAUCAGUGUUUGAGCCACAACCCCAAGGCUCGAGGGUCAGUACAAUGUAUAUUUUAAAAAUUUGUAAUUAUAUGAAAUAAUUAGCUUUUGUUUAUGUUGUUCCCACUGAAUUAGGAAGAGAGGAAAAAGUUGAUCAUGAUGAUGAAGAUGUGGUACUUAUGAGUAGUAGAAGUAAUAAUAAUAAUGGAGAUAAUAAUAGUUACCAAAGAGAGGAAAAGAGCAAGAGUCGACGUCGUUAGUGUCAGUCAGUUAGUUUCAGUUAUCUGUUAUUGUUACAAGUGUUCUGUUUUUAUCUUUCCCAAAGUCUGUUAUUGGUUAGUUAUCAGAUAUUUUCUGUUUCUUGUUUUGUUAGUUUUCUCCUGGUUUUUAGGUUGUAAAACUUUGUUAUAUAAAUAUCAGAACACUUGAUCAGUUUUAAUUGAUCAAGCAUUUCAUUUCA